rnacentral:rRNA from 1 species
UACGAAGGGGGCUAGCGUUGCUCGGAAUCACUGGGCGUAAAGGGUGCGUAGGCGGGUCUUUAAGUCAGGGGUGAAAUCCUGGAGCUCAACUCCAGAACUGCCUUUGAUACUGAAGAUCUUGAGUUCGGGAGAGGUGGAGUGGAACUGCGAGUGUAGAGGUGAAAUUCGUAGAUAUUCGCAAGAACACCAGUGGCGAAGGCGGCUCACUGGCCCGAUACUGACG